GUGGUUUCUUGCCCUUAGCCAUCAAACUGAUUGCAACAAACUUUAUAUCUCAAAAUAAGUCAGUAUGGAGGGAUACACUUCACCGCUUGAAUAAAAAUGAUCUCCAUAAGAAUUUGCAAAGUAUUAUUGAGAUGAGCUUACCUUUAUAGAGGAAGAAGAUGCUAAAACGGUUUUUCUUCUUUGUUGCUUGUUUCCAGGUGACUUUAAUAUUCCAAUCGAGGAUCUAACAAGAUACGCAUGGGGGCUUAAGUUGUUGAACGAAGUUCCUACUCUAGGGAUCGCUAGAGACAGGACAAAAACAUGUGUACUCAAUCUCAAGAAUGCAAAUUUAUUAAUGGAUAGUGAUUACUCGGAGUGUGUCAAAAUGCACGAUCUUGUGCUUGUUUUUGUGGUAGCUAAAGUUUCUAAAGGCGAUCACCCAUGGCUCAUUAACCAUAAUGAUGUUUCAAAUUGGAGUAGAGCUGAAAUGAGCGAGUCUUGCAGAAGAAUCUCUUUGACAUGUAUGGGCAUGUCAAAGUUCCCGGGAGACUUUAAUUACCCAAACGUGUCCUUAUUGAGACUUAUGAAUGGCGAUGAAUCACUUAAGUUUGCUGAAGAUUUUUAUGAGAAAAUGGAAAAUCUUCAAGUCAUGGCAUGUGAGAAGUUGCAAUAUCCAUUGCUUCCCAAAUCGCUUCAAUGCUCCAGCAAGCUUCAAACACUGUGACUCCAUCAAUGCUCGUUGAAAUAUGAUUGCUCUCCUAUUGGUGAUCAUCUUUUGAACUUGGAAGUACUCAGCUUUGCUCAUUCAGGCAUCCGAUAUUUACCAUCUGCAAUCGGAAAUCUAGUGAAGCUAAAGCUAUUGGAUUUAACAGGUUGUAUUGAUCUCCAUAUCCAAGAAGGCGUCUUGAAAAACCUGGUCAAGCUUGAAGAGCUUUAUAUGAGGGUUGCUAACAAAAAGGGCAUCAGAUUCACAGAUAUAAAUUACAAGGAAUUGGAAGAACGUUCCAAGAAUCUUUCUGCAUUAGAAGUGGAGUUCUUUGAGAACAACCCCCAGUCAAAGAAUAUGUUGUAUAAUAAACUCGAAAGCUUCAAGAUAUCUAUGGGGCGUUUUCUAGAAGGAAUUAGUGGCAAAAAUAAGCACUCAUCUGAAAACACGCUGAUGUUUGAGGUUCCUACCAAAAAUAUAUUGUUGGAAUCUGGUAUAAAUGAGUUGUUUUCAAAAACAGAAGUGCUUCAUUUAGAAACUGGUGGCAUGAAUAACAUUGAAGAAGUCUUACCGAAAUCCGUACAUCAUCUAUACUCAUUUUGUAAUUUAAGAGUCCUUUGUGUUUCUUGGUGUACCGAAAUGAGAUACCUCUUUAUGAUCCCGGUAGCAAGUGGUCUGGUGAAGCUUGAACAUCUCACAAUCAGGAAAUGCCUUUUCAUCGAAGCACUAGUAUACAUUGAAGAAAAUGUUGAAGAAAGGGCCAUGCAUUAGAUUUCAAGAGCUAAAGUAUCUAUGUUUGGAUGAUCUACCAAUGUUGGUAGGUUUGUCUAACACUAACGAUCUACUGCAACUAGUAGAGGUGGAUCUUAGUGGCCUUCCCAAUUUCACUAGCAUUUAUCCAGAGUAUAAAUCAACAUCAACAUCAUCUGAUAUGAGCAGUAGUAGUAUUUCUGUAAUUAAACCUUUCUUCAGCGAAAAGGUUAUGAUCCCUAAGUUGGAAAGAUUGCAAAAUAGAGGGAUGGAUGAAUUGAAGAAUAUAUGGGCGCCUUGUGGUAGUCGUGAGGAAGUUCAUGCCUGCUGUGUCCGACACAUUUCAGUGUCAGGCUGUCGUAAUCUUGUGAGUAUGUUUCCGAGGAAUCCGAUACCACUGUUGCAUCAUCUUGAAACAAUCUUUGUUGAUCAUUGUCGUUCCAUUGAAGUGUUAUUCGACAUUGAUGUUGGUGGUCUUGGUGAGAUUAAAGAAGGCAGUAGUAAAUUAAGAUUCAUUAGGGUAUAUUACUCAGAUAGCUUUAGAGAGGUGUUUAGGUUAAAAGGCAUAAUUAACCCUGAUCUUAUCAUUUAUGGCUUCGAAGCUGUUGAAGAGAUACGCAUAUCUGACUGUCUGGGCUUUAGUCUGCUAGGCUUGAUUUGGGAGCACAUAUCGACAUUAAUACAGAUGGCUUCGAUUACGAUGGCCUGAUUACAAUGGAAUGGUUUAGGAGGAAGGUAGAAGCAAACAAUCAGUACGUUGUAGGAGGACUUGAGCCUAAAUGACUCCACAGGUCCACGGUUUUAUGGAAGCAGUUCGUGAAAUCCGGAGGAUCGAGAAACAAAGCACUUUGGAAGUUUAGAGAGUUUGAUCACUUGUACUUUACAACAGGUUUUAUGGAAUGUCAUAUAUCAUUACGGGAUAGCGUUCAUAGUGGGAAUAUGGGUGCUACCGAGAAACUGUUUGAUGGAAUGCCUCAAUGAGAUUCUGUUUUUUUGAAUGCUUUGCUGUCUCGUAAUGCUCACAAUGACUAUGUUGAAAAAGCUAGGAUGGUUUUUGAUAAAAUUGAUGGAAUGCAAUAAUUGCAGGUUAUGUGAAGUGUAUGAAAACCGAUAUUGCAAAGUAGCUAGUUUUUUUAUGCCCCUGCAUGAUAUAUAGAAGUAACUUUCAUCUCGUUAGGGAUGUGCAAAUGGCCCGACCCGCGACCCGCAAGUACAUACAAAUCGGAACCGUGACCCGGCCCGUGAUGGGUCGGUUCGGGGCGGGUCACGGGUU